UACGAAGGGGGCUAGCGUUGCUCGGAAUUACUGGGCGUAAAGGGAGCGUAGGCGGACAGUUUAGUCAGAGGUGAAAGCCCAGGGCUCAACCCUGGAAUUGCCUUUGAUACUGGCUGUCUUGAGUAUGGGAGAGGUGUGUGGAACUCCGAGUGUAGAGGUGAAAUUCGUAGAUAUUCGGAAGAACACCAGUGGCGAAGGCGACACACUGGCCCAUUACUGACGCUGAGGCUCGAAAGCGUGGGGAGCAAACAGG
rnacentral:rRNA from 1 species